UGGGGAAUCUUGGACAAUGGGCGCAAGCCUGAUCCAGCCAUGCCGCGUGAGCGAUGAAGGCCUUAGGGUUGUAAAGCUCUUUCACCGGUGAAGAUAAUGACGGUAGCCGGAGAAGAAGCCCCGGCUAACUCCGUGCCAGCAGCCGCGGUAAUACGGAGGGGGUUAGCGUUGUUCGGAAUUACUGGGCGUAAAGCGCACGUAGGCGGACCAGAAAGUUGGGGGUGAAAUCCCGGGGGCUCAACCCCGGAACUGCCUCCAAAACUAUUGGUCUAGAGUUCGAGAGAGGUGAGUGGAAUUCCAAGUGUAGAGGUGAAAUUCGUAGAUAUUUGGAGGAACACCAGUGGCGAAGGCGGCUCACUGGCUCGAUACUGACGCUGAGGUGCGAAAGCGUGGGGAGCAAAGCAGGAUUAGAUAGCCCUGGUAGUCCACGCCGUAAAACGAUG
rnacentral:rRNA from 1 species